GUGUUCUUUUAGGAAAAUUGUCUUGAAAUAAUACUUGGGAAUCGGCUAAGGUGGGCCAUAAAUAGAGAUUGAAAUGAAUUUUCUACUGGAGAUCCCUCUUAGAAUAAAACCUAAAUCAGCCCCUAACAAUUACCUCGAAAGACAACGAGGCCCCUAACAAAAAAAAAACCCCAACCCGGCCCCUGACAAAAAAAAACCCAAUUCGGCCCCUGACAAUUGCUUCGAAAGGACAACGAGGCUCCUGUGCCAAAAAAAAA